GUCAGUCUGUCAUCACGAUGACGUUCACCCUAUAGUUUUAGUCAUCCGCAAUAGAGCACAUUUUUAAACAAUUUACCUAUAAUAUUACUACGCAAUUAUUUUGCAUAAAUUUAAUAAUGUCUAAGGGUUCCGAGAAGCACAGCUCGUCAGACUCUGAGACGGGUUCCGUACAGCAGCCAAGAGUGAGCAAGAUAGGUGCUAUCCUAUGCCCGACUAUCUGCGCCCUUGUUCUAGCUCUGCUGUUCAUGGUGUCCUUUUUAGGAGCAAAGCUGAUCUAUGAGCAGUACGACGCGAUUUGCUCUAGACGAUUCGACAUCGAAAAAUUGUACCUCUUCCCUAAUAUCACAUACGUGAAAAUUUAUAAAACCUAAUGGGUAA